rnacentral:tRNA from 1 species
CCACCGCCGGGCUUCUGGGGUGUCUCGGGCUUCCCGGGCCUGGGGCCGGGCUUGGGCGUCGAGCCGGCCGGGGUCGUCGCACCCGGGGCGGUGGGC